CCUACGGGUGGCAGCAGUAGGGAAUCUUCCACAAUGGGCGAAAGCCUGAUGGAGCAACGCCGCGUGGGUGAAGAAGGUCUUCGGAUCGUAAAACCCUGUUGUUAGAGAAGAAAGUGCGUGAGAGUAACUGUUCACGUUUCGACGGUAUCUACCCAGAAAGCGACGGCUAACUACGUGCCAGCAGCCGCGGUAAUACGUAGGUGGCAAGCGUUAUCCGGAUUUAUUGGGCGUAAAGGGAACGCGGGCGGUCUUUUAAGACUGAUGGGAAAGCCUUCGGCUUAACCGGAGUAGUGCAUUGGAAACUGGGAGACUUGAGUGCAGAAGAGGAGAGUGGAACUCCAUGUGUAGCGGUGAAAUGCGUAGAUAUAUGGAAGAACACCAGUGGCGAAGGCGGCUCUCUGGGCUGUAACUGACGCUGAGGUUCGAAAGCGUGGGUAGCAAACAGGAUUAGAUACCCCUGUAGUC
rnacentral:rRNA from 1 species